ACGCAGGGCCCAACACCCUAUUAAAUUUUAUUAAUUACGAAUAAAAAGUACAAAGGAGGAGGACAUGAACCGUACCUCCAAAUUACAUGAUCAUGAGAGAGUUUCGGAGAAGCACCUAAAGUAAGGAAAACCAUUUUACGUGCAUAACUUUUGAUGCUACCGUAAAACGGAUUUUCCUCACUAUUACAUUGAGAUAAUAAGCUAGAAUAAAGUUUAAAACAGGAAAUCUAAAUACGAUAAACACCUAGAAUGGAGUGUUUCAUUUUAUGACUAUAUUUUUUACUACCGUCAUAAAAUUGAAACGCAUCCAUAUUACAAAAAUCUAUGUGAAUUAAUACAAAGGAACAAUAAACUAGGAGUAUUACAAGGGAUUUCUUAAGCAUGAUUUUGAGUGUGAUAAUUUAACAUUGAUGGAAUUUUUCAAGCAAAAGAACAUAUCUAUUUGCAAUGUUUGGCAUCAUUGAGAUUAUAAUGAUUUCAGUGAUAUAUAAUUGGAACAAGCAUACCUUGUGUUGAUAAUGCCAUUAUAUCUUGUUCUUGUUACAAAUGAUUACUUGAAUAACCUCAAGGGCAUUUUUGUUAAUAUGCAGAAAAAUUGUAAAAAAUGCUAAAUUUGAUGCUUAUUAUGCUUAAACAUUGUUUAAAUACUUGUUAUACAUGUUAUAAGUCAUAGUCAUACAUCAUGAUGUAAAUUGAAUAUGUUUGAGCAUAUUAAAGGCAUGAUUCUUCAAAUAAGCAUUUCAACUAUUUAGCAUUUGUGAACAAUGAGCAAUAAAAGCCAAAAUUUGAGUUCACAUGUUUUUCUUGAAGAAUCUUUGAUCAUACAUGUCUAAAAUAAUGUUUUAACAUGGUUGAAAUGAGAUUGUAAUUUGUUCUCACACAAAUCCAUGUUUUGAGAUCAUUAUACCUUAGAAUAUUUCAUGUUUUGCACCUUUCUUUGGAUUUUCAAUAUGUAGGAAUCAAGCAUAAUUGACUCUUUAGCAUUGCUAGUCAUGUCACAACCCGGUACCCCCCUUGAGCCCGUGACAAAUGCCGUGACAUCUCGGUUGACAUUCGUUACCCAGAGUGCCAACCGGAACCUCGCAAGGCUUUAGUACCAUUUUUUUUUCAUCUCCCCUAUGAGUAAUCAUCGCCAAACCUCGUUUUUAAAGAAUUUUAAGCUUUUUCCCUUUCCAAACUGUGGAAAAAUAAUUUUCUCCUCACAGGGGCAUUUUCAUCAUUUUUCCUCGAAAUUUUUCGAACCCGACUAAAAAUGUAGUAGAUGAGUGGAAAACACAUAUUUCAUGAUUUAAAAUAAAGUUGGGUGUCUAAAACAUUUAUUGAAAAUGAUAUUGCAACUAUUUGAAUAAAAUAAAAAUAUUCAAUAAGAUAUUCUAAUUUCUUGUAAAACAAUAUUUAUAGAGUCAUCGGUAAAUAAUUUUUGUAAUGUAAAAGCUAAAUAAAUUCAUACGUACUAUAAUACAGAUAACCGAGAUAUGAAAUUUACUUUACAAUGACUCAUGGGCCCACAAGGAACAAAAGUGCACAAAGGCAGUAAACCUACAGUUUUUGGAGUAGUAAAGUCGACUAUAAUCCUUGACGAUAUCUGCUAUCCACAGGCUACCUCAGGCCUGAAAUGGUUGAAAAUGAGGGCGGUGAGAUUAUAAAUCCCAGUGAGUAAAUACAUAUCAUCUAAACCAUCUAAAGUUGAGUAAAUGGAGAUAGAUAAAAUAGUUUAACAUACUGAAAUUCAUCACCUUUUAACUUGUUUCAACCAAAUAAAAUCAAUUCAUAUAAAUCGAGUAAUUAACAUGGCUUAUGAAUUUUUUAAAACUUUGGCUCGUGCCAAAAUCAGUAUCAUACUCAAUCAUCAGGGAUACCUUGGCCGAGGGCUAUCCCAAACUGAGUCCGCCAAGGCUGUUAAAAAGUUAUGUACGCAUAAAUCAUGUUUUUAUUUUGAAAACAUAGCCGUUUCUUGGCGUUGGCCGAGUUCACCCUCACGUGGUGGUUGGGCGUGAAGUGAACUCUAAAGUUUGACCUCGGGAGUUACCCUACGCGCCUCUCUAAUUGAGGUACAUAUAUAUGACCAGGUUCCGUGCCCCUCUAAUAGGUUGGUCUACAGAACCAGCCCACUGCAACAAGCUAAACCCACCAUACAAUAAAAAUUCAACAACAUGAUAUGGCAAUUUUAUCAUUAUCCAGCUUAUCAAGGAAAACAACAGUUUAUACAUUUCAACACAAAUACCAAUUCAGCCAUUCAUGCAAAUAUUGUCAUAAGCCAAUAAAUUAAAACCAUAAAUUCACAAUACAUCAAAUGGUCUCCAAUUACUCUAUUUUCAAAGCCUUCAUUCAAUUUCAAGACCAUUUAUGAAAUCAUUUUGUUUAAACACAUUUUGUUUAUAAAACCUAAAAAUUUACCAUUUAAACUCAUUGUCCAUUAAAUCAAAAAAACAAAUAAAAACCACUCUAGAUAAUUAAGACGAUAGUAAGGUUACUCAUAGUACUAGGAGUUCGAUAUACUCCUAUUCCCGAUCUUCAGGCACAAUCUCUUUACUCUUGUUAGAGGGCUCACCACCUAUACAUCAUACGUGACACGAAUUUCAAUAAAUUGUGUCAAUUUAUCAUAAACUAUUUCAGGCUCUAUAAAUCUAUAUGAAUGCACGAAAUGUGAUGCAAAAUGUUCGAAUAACCACUUAAAUACGGUAUUCGACCUAAAUCGCACUAUUCUCGGUGUAAUUGGCUAAAACCUCCAAUUUAACUCCAAAUAGAUUUCUUUCACUUUCUACACUCCAAUUAUACUUAAAAUACCUCAAUGACUGUGAAUAUGAUUCAAUUUAUCAGUCCGAACCACAAAUCGCACAUGUCUAUACAUUAGGUAAAAAUUCAGAUUUUCAUGGCAAAAUUUCUCAUUAAAUUUCUAGCCUCACCAAUCAUUAAAUACCACCAAAAUAUCAUUAAAUAUCAUCAAUAUCAGCCUCAAUAUCCUCCCUAAAAAUUUGGCCUCUUGUGGGUUUGUGAAGAACAAAGUGAUUCCUUGCCAGAUUUUCAUACUUUCCAUUACCAAACAACCAAAAACACUUAAUUAGCUUGAAAUCUAGCAAAAUCAAUGCUCAAAACCUCUCCUCUCAAAUUCGGCCAGCAUGGGUUCAUCAUGCAAACUUGAGUUCUAAGCAUGGAAAAUGAAAAAGAAAGCAUGGGUAGUGUAAAUCACAAGAUAAAAUCACAAAAUUUUACCUUUAUUAGCUUAAUCCCUUGAAAUCCCACACUUUUUCUUCAAUUUUCCCACCUAGGGUUUGUGUUCUUUCCUUUCCUCUUCACUUCAUGCUUUGG
rnacentral:lncRNA from 1 species